UACGUAGGUGGCAAGCGUUGUCCGGAUUUACUGGGCGUAAAGAGCGCGCAGGCGGUCGUUCAAGUCGCGUGUGAAAGCCCCCGGCUCAACUGGGGAGGGUCACGCGAUACUGAUCGACUCGAAGGCAGGAGAGGGUAGUGGAAUUUCCGGUGUAGUGGUGAAAUGCGUAGAUAUCGAGAGGAACACCUGCGGCGAAGGCGGGUUGCUGGGCUGACACUGACGCUGAGGCGCGAAAGCCAGGGGAGCGAACGGG
rnacentral:rRNA from 1 species